UCAAAUCCGGAUCCAAAUCCAUUCUCUCUCUCUCUCUCUCUCUCGAUUGGAAGAAGGAGAGCUGCUAGAAGACCUCCUUGUCAUUCAGAUCCAGAUCCAAAUCCAAAUCCAUUCUCUCUCUCUCUCUCUCUCCCUCUCUUUCUCUCUCGAUUGGAAGAAGGAGAGUUGCUAGAAGACCUUAUCAUUCAGAUCCAAAUCCAAAUCCAAAUCCAUUCUCUCUCUCUCUCUCUCUCUCUCUCUCUCGAUUAGAAGAAGGAGAGCUGCUAGAAGACCUCCUUAUCAUUCAGAUCCAGAUCCAAAUCAGUUCAAGGUCAAGUCGUAUUUAUGUGUUUGACAUGCGAAAGAAUCCAAGAGCUGUCUUGAAAUGAGGGUUGCAGAUUGGAAAAAGGUGGGCCAUGCUUUUUUGCUUCAUGCUUUGUUUGCUAAUGAACUUGGAGAUCUACGAAUGUCUGAUGGUUUGAACUAUGAGAACCAAAUUGCUAUUGGAUUCUUGCGAUGCCAAGAACAACCACCUAGUGACUUCUCUAUUGCUCAGUUCCGGUUUCUAGAGCGACUACUUGUCAUCCAUGGGCACUGGUGCUAUAAGAGGAUUACCCAAAUGGUAAGAACUACAAAAUCCCUUCUUUCUCU